CUACGUGCCAGCAGCCGCGGUAAUACGGAAGGUCCAGGCGUUAUCCGGAUUUAUUGGGUUUAAAGGGAGCGUAGGCUGGAGAUUAAGUGUGUUGUGAAAUGUAGACGCUCAACGUCUGAAUUGCAGCGCAUACUGGUUUCCUUGAGUACGCACAACGUUGGCGGAAUUCGUCGUGUAGCGGUGAAAUGCUUAGAUAUGACGAAGAACUCCGAUUGCGAAGGCAGCUGACGGGAGCGCAACUGACGCUUAAGCUCGAAGGUGCGGGUAUCAAACAGGAUUAGAUACCCUGGUAGUCCACACAGUAAACGAUGUAUACUCGCGGUUUGCGAUAGACAGUAAGCCGCCAAGCGAAAGCAUUAAGUAUACCACCUGGGGAGUACGCCGGCAACGGUGAAACUCAAAGGAAUUGACGGGGGCCCGCACAAGCGGAGGAACAUGUGGUUUAAUUCGAUGAUACGCGAGGAACCUUACCCGGGCUUGAAC
rnacentral:rRNA from 1 species